UACGUAGGGGGCAAGCGUUGUCCGGAUUUAUUGGGCGUAAAGAGCGUGUAGGCGGCUUUACAGGUCCGUUGUGAAAACUCGAGGCUCAACCUCGAGACGCCGGUGGAAACCGUAAGGCUAGAGUGCGGAAGAGGAGAGGGGAAUUCCUGGUGUAGCGGUGAAAUGCGCAGAUAUCAGGAGGAACAUCCGUGGCGAAAGCGGCUCUCUGGGACGGUACUGACGCUGAGACGCGAAAGCUUGGGGAGCAAAUAGG
rnacentral:rRNA from 1 species